rnacentral:misc_RNA from 1 species
CCACGCCCGAAGUCGUUACUCUAACCAUUCGUGGAGGAGGGCGCCGAAGGUGGGGCUGAUGACUGGAGUGAAGUCGUAACAAGGUAGCCGUACCGGAAGGUGUGGCUGGAUCACCUCCUUUUAGGGAGACCUACCUGUGAUUACCCGAAAAGUUUAUAGAGAGGGUAAUGACGUGGUCAUCUCAAGGUCGAGCAGGACUUAUUUCAUGGUUUCUUCCACCUGUUGGGUAAUGGGGGCUAUUAGCUCAGGUGGUUAGAGCGCACCCCUGAUAAGGGUGAGGUCCCUGGUUCGAGUCCAGGAUGGCCCACUGCGUGGGGGUAUAGCUCAGUUGGUAGAGCGCCUGCUUUGCAAGCAGGAUGUCAGCGGUUCGAGUCCGCUUACCUCCACCAAAGAAGAGAUAGCGAGGAGCGUCUGUCUGAGAGUUCAGCACGUUAAUGGAGUGAUUAACCUGCUGAGUUCUAUGGACUCAGCGAGACCCUUGACAACUGCAUAGAGAGAAAGAGUCAAAAGGUAGUUGAAGACAAUUCUAAAUUUUGAGAGAAGGUCAAGCUACAAAGGGCUCACGGUGGAUACCUAGGCACACAGAGG